CAGUAGCCGCGGGAAUACGUAGGGUGCGAGCGUUGUCCGGAAUUACUGGGCGUAAAGAGCUCGUAGGUGGUUUGUCGCGUCGUCUGUGAAAUUCCGGGGCUUAACUCCGGGCGUGCAGGCGAUACGGGCAUAACUUGAGUGCUGUAGGGGAGACUGGAAUUCCUGGUGUAGCGGUGAAAUGCGCAGAUAUCAGGAGGAACACCGAUGGCGAAGGCAGGUCUCUGGGCAGUUACUGACGCUGAGGAGCGAAAGCAUGGGUAGCGAACAGGAUUAGAUACCCCUGUAGUCCCUGUCUCUUAUA
rnacentral:rRNA from 1 species